UACAGAGGGUGCAAGCGUUAAUCGGAAUUACUGGGCGUAAAGCGUGCGCAGGCGGUUUUGUAAGUCUGUCGUGAAAGCCCCGGGCUCAACCUGGGAAUUGCGAUGGAGACUGCAAGGCUUGAAUCUGGCAGAGGGGGGUAGAAUUCCACGUGUAGCAGUGAAAUGCGUAGAGAUGUGGAGGAACACCGAUGGCGAAGGCAGCCCCCUGAGUCAAGAUUGACGCUCAUGCACGAAAGCGUGGGGAUCAAACAGG
rnacentral:rRNA from 1 species